GACGAACGCUGGCGGCGUGCCCAAUACAUGCAAGUAGAACGCUGAAGAGAGGAGCUUGCUCUUCUUGGAUGAGUUGCGAACGGGUGAGUAACGCGUAGGUAACCUGCCUUGUAGCGGGGGAUAACUAUUGGAAACGAUAGCUAAUACCGCAUAACAAUGGAUGACACAUGUCAUUUAUUUGAAAGGGGCAAUUGCUCCACUACAAGAUGGACCUGCGUUGUAUUAGCUAGUAGGUGAGGUAAUGGCUCACCUAGGCGACGAUACAUAGCCGACCUGAGAGGGUGAUCGGCCACACUGGGACUGAGACACGGCCCAGACUCCUACGGGAGGCAGCAGUAGGGAAUCUUCGGCAAUGGGGGCAACCCUGACCGAGCAACGCCGCGUGAGUGAAGAAGGUUUUCGGAUCGUAAAGCUCUGUUGUAAGUCAAGAACGGGUGUGAGAGUGGAAAGUUCACACUGUGACGGUAGCUUACCAGAAAGGGACGGCUAACUACGUG
rnacentral:rRNA from 1 species